rnacentral:rRNA from 1 species
CCUACGGGGGGCAGCAGUGGGGAAUAUUGCACAAUGGGGGAAACCCUGAUGCAGCAACGCCGCGUGAGUGAUGACGGCCUUCGGGUUGUAAAGCUCUAUCUUCAGGGAAGAUAAUGACGGUACCUGAGGAGGAAGCCACGGCUAACUACGUGCCAGCAGCCGCGGUAAUACGUAGGGGGCAAGCGUUGUCCGGAUUUACUGGGCGUAAAGGGAGCGUAGGCGGACGUUUAAGUGUGAUGUGAAAGACUUGGGCUCAACUUGGGUGCUGCAUUUGAAACUGGACGUCUAGAGUGCAGGAGAGGAGAAUGGAAUUCCUAGUGUAGCGGUGAAAUGCGUAGAGAUUAGGAAGAACACCAGUGGCGAAGGCGAUUCUCUGGACUGUAACUGACGUUGAGGCUCGAAAGCGUGGGGAGCAAACAGGAUUAGAUACCCCUGUAGUC